rnacentral:rRNA from 1 species
AUAGCGUAUAUUAAAGUUGUUGCAGUUAAAAAGCUCGUAGUUGAAUUUCGGGAUCAAUAUGUUGGUCGUGCCUCGGUACGUACUAGCAUAUUGGUUUCUCCUUUCUGAAGAACCAUGAUGUCAUUUAUUUGGUGUCGUGGGGAAUCAGGACUGUUACUUUGAAAAAAUUAGAGUGUUUAAAGCAGGCUCACGCUUGAAUACAUUAGCAUGGAAUAAUGAAAUAGGACGUUUGAUUCUAUUUUGUUGGUUUCUAGGAUCGACGUAAUGAUUAAUAGGGAUAGUUGGGGGCAUUAGUAUUCAAUUGUCAGAGGUGAAAUUCUUGGAUUUAUUGAAGACUAACUACUG